rnacentral:lncRNA from 1 species
ACGGGACACCUGCAUCUGCCAACAAGACUGGAAGCAGAAAGGGACAGAGACGGCGAAGUUUGACGGUCUGGAAAGCAGAGACCAGCAGGGCUGACUGCUUGGGAGCACGAGGGACAGCUCUCCACCGACCGAAGGAGGAGAAUGCUAUUUAUUUCAGCACCAAAUAUCCGGACAGCGCCUCUCGGGAGGUCCGAGAAGAGAACCGCGAUCUGUUUCAGCACCGGGGCUCAGGACAGUUCCCAGCGGGCUCCGUUUCGUCUCCAGAACCCUGGACAGCUCCUCCAGACUUCGGUGAGAAACCUUGUGCCAAGCAUUUUACAUACAUCAUAUCAUGCCAUCUUCAACCCUAGGACAUGGGUGUUACUGUGCCCAUGUGACAUUUGGGGAACCCAAGGCCCUGAGAAAGGCAGAAAAAUAACCCACGCAGGGACUCUCAGCCCACAAGUGAAGCUCUUGGAAUGCACUCCCUCCACCUCCAACCAGAGCUCCCCACAACUGACCCUGCCUUCUUCUGCAAGCUCCAUUUCAUCAAGGGAAACGAUCCUUAUUGCCUCACCAUUUCCCACGUGAAGUCUGUAUUGACAUUCUCAUAGACCUGGGAUAUUGUGUCUGCAGCACAUAGUCCAAUUAUUUUCAUGUUAUCUACUGACAGGUCUAUUUGUCUCCCUGUUACACUGUGAGCUCCGUGAGGGCAGAAACAAUGUUAGUAUUUUCACUGCUGUGUCCCCAGCGCCUGGUCCGGGGCCCGGCACACAGCAGGCAUAUAAUAAGCAUGUGUUGAAUCAAUAAAGGCAUCAAAGAAUAAACCAAUACAUCAAUCAAUAAA